ensembl:lncRNA
ACAGGACAUAGGCAGGGUUCCCCUUCUGUCUACUGCAUUGCAUAUGUUACACUUGUCACCACAUCUAUCCAAUCACAACUAAUUGAACAAAGUGUAGCACAGUAGGCCAUUCUCCACCAAUCAAAAAGCACACAGGAACCACCCCUUAGAACCACCCCUUUAGAACCACCCCUUUCGGCCUUUGACACCUACUUUGCAGGUUCCCUGGAAGCGACAAACACCAUUUCUAAACAAUCACCAUGCAAGUAAAACACAUACUAAAUAAAAAGCAGCAAAUGUACUAGAAUGGAAAAACCCUCAGAGGUACAGAGUGUGAGAUCGGCCCCGGGGUCAGAGGUACAGAGUGUGAGAUCGGCCCCGGGGUCAGAGGUACAGAGUGUGAGAUCGGCCCCGGGGUCAGAGGUACAGAGUGUGAGAUCGGCCCCGGGGUCAGAGGGCCCCAGAGGUACAGUCAGUGUGUGAGAUCGGGGGAACAGAGCUCCAGGCCAGAGUGGGGGACUGCUCUCUCCCUUCGUCACACAUUGACUUGACACAUAGACACACCGACACUUAGAAACAUGUCCAACCUAGUAAACAACAGGUGCAAAGCUUGGAGCUUGGAGCUUGGAAUGCCAUGGAGAUCAUGGAAUCAGGAGUUUCAUCAAGUAAACAAUCCCUUGGUCCCCAGGAGGCUGUACAAUAGUUAUGCACUGGACUCAAUCAUUCCUCAGGAAGCAUCACAGAUGUCUGACUCAGUGUUGAGCCCUUUGCCCUUUGAGUGGAAUAGAAACCUCAAGUGCCGACUGGCUGGCUACACUUUUUACUUUGACACUUUUUACCCUCAUCAAUCUGGUUUUACUUUCAAAUAAUACUUAAUAUUGUUUUAUGAAUUUUUCCAUUCCAUUAUUUUUAUUACUUGAUUUUACUGGUUUUUUUCUAUCUAAUGUUUUGUAAGUCGCUUUGAAAAUCUGCUAAAUAUUUAAACUAUUGUGUACACAUCAUGGACCACAGAUAGCCUUAACGAAUCAUUCUGCUGUAGGUUAGAUGUGUUUUCAGACCACAGAUAGCCUUAACGAGUCAUUCUGCUAUAGGUUAGAUGUGUUUUCAGACCACAGAUAGCCUUAACGAAUCAUUCUGCUAUAAGUUAGAUGUGUUUUCAGACCACAGAUAGCCUUAACGAGUCAUUCUACUAUAAGUUAGAUGUGUUUACAGACCAGAGGCUAACUAAGAUAGAGGAAAAUAUACAUACUGAAUCUUCUCUUCACGUCAAAGUAAAAGCAAGUUUUGCACUCACCACCUGGUUCUACUUGUCACAAGUCAAAAUAGUCACAAAGGAGGCGUGCAAGCAUGCCACUUGCAGUAUGUAGUAAAACUAGUUUUAAGCCACAAAAUCAUGCUUUACAUGCAAAUGACUACAGUGAAAUAGGAACAGAGUAACGUUGUCACAUUCUGGCUCCUUACAUUAAAGGUAACAUAUGUAAGAUCUAUUAGCAGAUAUGGAAUAUAGUAAUCACAAUUAUGCUUUUAUUAGUGUAUAAUCACCUGUAACUACGGAUAGUUUACCUACAUAACAGCAGGUCGUUUUCCAUUAUUAUUUAGCACAAGAAGAAGCAAGAGAGUGUGAAUCCUCAUUGUCAAAGAAGCGAAAAGCAUGAAGCAAAAUGAAAUAAGAACAGGUGACAGCAGAAAACAAGGGUAGACACGUGCUUGGUCUUCCCAGAUGGAAAACACUGAGGAGGGGGACACAUGUUUUCAGAGUGACAGCGAAGUUGUUUGAUAGUUUUAGCUGGAACAUGGCUAUGGGCAUAGUUACUAACACUAGUAACCUUUUUCCUGUGUAAAUGUUGAAAUCUAAUUGCUAGCAGGAUUGUAACUUCACUUUGAUGUGCCAAAACUAGAAUUUAUCUUUGGACCCAAAAGACCCAGUGACGUUACCGAGAUCAGCCCACAGCUGCUUAUUAUUGUCAAUACAAGUUCAACGUUAAACAAGAAAUCUCAUGAAUCCUGGUCAGCCUACCAUUCACUUUUCUGGGCACGCUUAUUACGUGGAUGAAGUUACUAGUUAUUUUGAAGAUGGAUAUUUUUAAAUAACAGGCAUCAUCUCUUAGUAUUCUAUAUUACCACUGUAGCAACCCACCCGAGUUCUGCAUAUAACAAACCCACACACAAAUACAGAAAAAGCCAACAAAAUGCCCUGCACUGCGGCAUGGCUGAGGUGAUGCCAGCGGGGCAUAGACACGUACAGGCCUCAUCAACAGCAGCGCUCAAGCCUGGCAUGAGCAGCAGGUCUCUCUAGGGUGCCACCUCUUUCUCUCACCUUCCUAGACCUCACUACACUACUCGUGCCAACAAACACACAGCAUUUCUUUUGGCCCCAACGCAUGGUGGCAGCGAUGACCCUACUGUCAGGAAGUCUUCUGUCUUCUCUCCGCUUCCUCUGUUCUCCUCUUCUCUCCUUACACGGGGACCCCUUACCAUCUGGAAAUCAUUUCCUACCUCUUACGACACCAGCCCACCAGUUAGCUGUUUGUUGAUCUUGACAAAGUGCCAUUUUCCAAUUAAAUAAAAAUUCCUCUGCAAGUUCAUAAUAAAUUGAUCAACCAAGAAAAAAAACACCUCAUAACAAAGGCAUUUGUAUGCCAGAGUUCUACCAAAGACUAUAUUUUUCAGAAGAUGAGGAUGGAGCAUUAGUUGAAAUUGAUUCCAUAUAUACUGUAUACUGCAGGGUUAGGCUUAAGGCUUUAGACUGUGCUCUUAUGCAAGAAAGCUCGAACUGUGAGAAGAGGAGGAGGAGAUAUGGUUGUCAGCCAGACCUUCUUUCCGACCUACGCCUUCAGUCUCCAAGGUAACAACACUGGAGUGAGGAUCAAAGAAUGCAGGGUUUUUUAUGAUGGUGAAUUUACACCCCAAUGACCUUCCUCACUGUCACAUGGCAAAGGGUCACGUCAGGUCGCGCCGGCCAACACUGGGAAACUGAUUUUUUUUCCCCAAGGGUAAAGUGACAACUCUCUUUAAUGUUCACUGCACUCUUUUCAGUGAGUGAUCUUCUUGCUCCUCCAACUACAAACACUUGCUCAUAAGCUGUGCCCAAGAAUAUCAUAAGCCAAUCAGCAAAAAUACUAGAAAGGCUUCAAGUGUGACUAUACAAGAAAAGAGCUCUUCUAAUAAAUAAAAACAAUAAAAAACAGAAUGUAGGAGAGCUUAGAAGAAUGAAAAGCUAAUGACUGCCUGCAGUGUGGGGGCGUACGUGCGCAUGUAAGAGAGACAGAGAGACAGAGAGAGAAAGAGAGAAAGAGAGAAUUAUGAUCCAGAGGAAGCCUUUACAGGAAUCUGGGUGAGUAAACACUGAACAGCUGACUCUGAGGGCCUCGGCGUUUUCUGAACUAUUAGAGGAGACAUGGAAAAUCUGCGGUGGCACUCCUGUCACUUUGUUUACUUCACUUGGGUUCACAUCAUUCCAUUGAGGAGCUACACGAGUUCAUUUUGGAAAGAAAGACCACUACAAUCUCUAUGACUAAGUCUGAAAUGCUUUGGACACUCCUUGCUCCUUCACAGUGAUAGAGCUUUGAGUCUGUAGCGCCCCAGAGCUCUCACACAAGAUUUAUGAUGUUCAUGUUAAGUGCAAUGGGACACACAUACAAAUCCGGCAAU